rnacentral:rRNA from 1 species
AGUGAACGCUGGCGGUAGGCCUAACACAUACAAGUCGAACGGCAGCACAGAGGAGCUUGCUCCUUGGGCGGCGAGUGGCGGACGGGUGGGGAAUACAUCGGAAUCUACUCUGUCGUGGGGGAUAACGUAGGGAAACUUACGCUAAUACCGCAUACGACCUACGGGUGAAAGCAGGGGAUCUUCGGACCUUGCGCGAUUGAAUGAGCCGAUGUCGGAUUAGCUAGUUGGCGGGGUAAAGGCCCACCAAGGCGACGAUCCGUAGCUGGUCUGAGAGGAUGAUCAGCCACACUGGAAAUGAGACACGGUCCAGACUCCUACGGGAGGCAGCAGUGGGGAAUAUUGGACAAUGGGCGCAAGCCUGAUCCAGCCAUACCGCGUGGGUGAAGAAGGCCUUCGGGUUGUAAAGCCCUUUUGUUGGGAAAGAAAUCCAUCUGGUUAAUACCCGGGUGGGAUGACGGUACCCAAAGAAUAAGCACCGGCUAACUUCGUGCCAGCAGCCGCCGUAA